UAAAAGUUUAUGAUGAAUUCAUAGUUCAACCGAUUUUUAAUGAGGUAUACAUCAAAAAUGUCUUUCGCUCCUAUCUGAAUUUUUUU